UGAGUCAGUUUUUAGAGAUGAUGUGGAGUGGUCUCAGUGGUUAGACAACAGGUAGAAGGCUUGGUGAAUGAACUGAGGGCAGGCAGGAUCUCAGUGCAGCAAACCCUGGUGCUGGUAGCCCUUCUGUGAGAGUGUGGAGAGAGAGAGAGAGAUGCACUUAUAAGGUAACAAGGGCAGAAUCCAGUUACUGAAAAUAACCAGCCUGGAGACUGACUGGUAUAAGCUUCACUUCCUCUGCCUGGGCAAUGUCUGAAAGGUAAAGAAGCUAUUUGCUACCUAAACAGGCCUCAAUCUUGAGACCCCUGACCUUGCCAUAGCACAAGCCUGAGCAGCCCCUGCCAGAGGAUAGCAGUUCUUGUGGAGCAAAGUGGAGUCUUCGAAGUGGCUAUAUGCAUAGACUGGGAUCACUGUCUGGAACCACUGGCCACCCCCUGGAGGCUGGAGAGGUGGUGACAGCUGAGCAAUGAUGGA
rnacentral:lncRNA from 1 species